UACGUAGGGGGCAAGCGUUGUCCGGAUUUACUGGGCGUAAAGAGCGUGUAGGCGGCCAAGCAGGUCCGUUGUGAAAACUGGAGGCUUAACCUCCAGACGUCGACGGAAACCGCGUGGCUAGAGUCCGGAAGAGGGAGAGUGGAAUUCCUGGUGUAGCGGUGAAAUGCGCAGAUAUCAGGAAGAACACCAAUGGCGAAGGCAGCUCUCUGGGACGGUACUGACGCUGAGACGCGAAAAGCGUGGGGAGCGAACAGG
rnacentral:rRNA from 1 species